GACGUACUUCCUCCGUUCUGAACUACUUGUCGCAGGUAUGGAUGUAUCUAGAUGUAUUUUAGUUCUAGAUACAUCCAUUUCCUGCGACAAGUAAUUUGAAACGGAGGAAAUAAUAA
rfam:Triticum urartu cultivar G1812 contig1172753, whole genome shotgun sequence.